GGGCUGUGCAGGCACGUGGGAAUUAGAAAGUUGGGCAAAAGGUACUUGUUUUGAUAGGUCAAUUCGAACAUCGCACAAUAUAAUCUGGGUAGCAAGGUUACUGGCGAUUGCUUUCUCUUCUAUAAAACCUACAGGUAACGGUAGGGCCUAGCCUACUAAAAUACAAGAAACAUUGGGGUUUCCCCAACAA